CGUCCUGUAGUUCAGUGGUUAGAGCGCUCGCCUCGUAAGCGAGAGACCUGGGUUCGAUUCCCGGCAGGGCGA
rnacentral:tRNA from 1 species